UGCAGUCGAGCGAAUGGAUUGAGAGCUUGCUCUCAAGAAGUUAGCGGCGGACGGGUGAGUAACACGUGGGUAACCUGCCCAUAAGACUGGGAUAACUCCGGGAAACCGGGGCUAAUACCGGAUAACAUUUUGAACUGCAUGGUUCGAAAUUGAAAGGCGGCUUCGGCUGUCACUUAUGGAUGGACCCGCGUCGCAUUAGCUAGUUGGUGAGGUAACGGCUCACCAAGGCAACGAUGCGUAGCCGACCUGAGAGGGUGAUCGGCCACACUGGGACUGAGACACGGCCCAGACUCCUACGGGAGGCAGCAGUAGGGAAUCUUCCGCAAUGGACGAAAGUCUGACGGAGCAACGCCGCGUGAGUGAUGAAGGCUUUCGGGUCGUAAAACUCUGUUGUUAGGGAAGAACAAGUGCUAGUUGAAUAAGCUGGCACCUUGACGGUACCUAACCAGAAAGCCACGGCUAACUACGUGCCAGCAGCCGCGGUAAUACGUAGGUGGCAAGCGUUAUCCGGAAUUAUUGGGCGUAAAGCGCGCGCAGGUGGUUUCUUAAGUCUGAUGUGAAAGCCCACGGCUCAACCGUGGAGGGUCAUUGGAAACUGGGAGACUUGAGUGCAGAAGAGGAAAGUGGAAUUCCAUGUGUAGCGGUGAAAUGCGUAGAGAUAUGGAGGAACACCAGUGGCGAAGGCGACUUUCUGGUCUGUAACUGACACUGAAGCGCGCAAGCGUGGGGAGCAA
rnacentral:rRNA from 1 species